GGUUGGUGGUUCUACUCGUAUCCCCAAGAUCCAGAAGCUUCUACAAGACUUCUUCAAUGGAAAAGAACUGAAUAAGAGCAUCAAUUCUGAUGAGGCUGUUGCUUAUGGUGCAGCUGUCCAGGCAGCCAUCUUAUCUGGAGACAAAUCUGAAAAUGUGCAAGAUUUGCUGCUGUUGGAUGUCACUCCUCUUUCCCUUGGCAUUGAAACUGCUGGUGGAGUCAUGACUGUCCUCAUUAAGCGCAAUACUACCAUUCCUACCAAGCAGACACAGACUUUCACUACCUACUCUGACAACCAGCCUGGUGUGCUUAUUCAGGUUUAUGAGGGUGAGCGUGCCAUGACCAAGGAUAACAAUCUGCUUGGGAAGUUUGAACUCACAGGCAUACCCCCUGCACCCCGUGGUGUUCCUCAAAUUGAAGUCACUUUUGAUAUUGAUGCCAAUGGCAUUCUCAACGUCUCUGCCGUGGAUAAGAGUACAGGAAAAGAGAAUAAAAUCACUAUCACUAAUGACAAGGGUCGUUUGAGCAAGGAAGACAUUGAGCGUAUGGUCCAGGAGGCUGAAUAGUACAAAGCUGAAGAUGAGAAGCAGAGGGACAAAGUGUCAUCCAAGAAUUCACUUGAAAUCCUAUGCCUUUAACAUGAAGGCAACUGUUGAAGAUGAGAAACUUCUAGGCAAGAUCAAUGAUGAGGACAAACAGAAGAUU